AGAUACCCUAUUAUAUUUGAACCCUAUAAGGUAGUAUAAUAAAACCUACAUAGUUUGGCGGCAUUAUACCUUACUAGAGGAAUCUGUCUAAUAAUCGACACUACACGCUAUAUUUUACUAUUCCUUAAAUCUUAUAUACCGCCGUUAAAAUUUGAAUAAAAAUAUCCGAUUAAAAAAACAUUAUAGUAAAACAGGUAAAGGUGUAGACUAUGAACUAGGUAAGAUGUAUUACAAUAAAAAUAAUUUAAGGAUAUAAAAUAAAAAUAAAUUGAAAAAGGAUUUAUAAGUAAUAUUUUAAAUAUUUUAAUAAUAAUAUUGAAAUUUGAACUAGAAAAUUAAUGUGCACACAUCGCCCG
rnacentral:rRNA from 1 species